rnacentral:rRNA from 1 species
UUACAUCAGCAGUCMUCCAUGUGAUAGCGUGCGGCCAGUGCCCCCUGCCAGGCACUCAAUUGGACAUCCUCCAAAACUUGGUGGCUAAUACACGUCUGCCCAGGUCUGCCAUGACAUACCUGCUUGGGGUACAGGUCCUUGCGGCCACACCCCCGGAUGGUGGAUUGCACCCAGCUGCUGCGAAGACCAGCGCCAGGGAAUGGCAGUGUGUCUGGCUGACUCAGGCUGGUCCCUUUGAGGACAGAUGCGCUGGCAGAGUGGUGGCCUCGGCUACAAAAGCACUGCUUGAUCACACGAACUUCUGACCUAUCAGCCUUGACUGUGGUGUAGUGGACCACAGUGGCCCUCACGGGUAACGGAGAAUCUGGGUUCGAUUCCGGAGAGGGAGCCUGAGAAACGGCUACCACUGCCAAGGCGGGCAGCAGGCGCGCAAAUUGCCCAAUGCCAAAGCAAUCGGUGAGGCAGCGACGAUCAGCAGCAAUUCUGCCAGUACCUGUUGCUGGUGGAACUUGGAAUGGAUGCUAUCCAAACAUCGCUAUGAGUACCAACUGGAGGGCAAGUCUGGUGCCAGCAGCUGCGGUAAUUCCAGCUCCAGUGGCGUAUACUAACAUUGCUGCGGUUGAAACGUUUGUAGUCUGCCUCUGGGUGACUGGUCUGCCAGGAGGCCUGCUGUGUGGUGAGGGGUUUACCCCAAGCCCACACAGGCCAUCAACCCCUGGCAGUGAGUCCAGCACCCGCCUUCGGAUGGCCUGAACAGCUCUUGCGCGAAGCCCCCUUCAGUGGAGGUUGAGGCAGUUGGUGCACCCAACACCUGCAUGGACAGCAUGGGUGUGUGACCCUGUGUUGCACAAGUUCCACCCAGUCCACUACCAGAGCCGGCCAUCGAUGACACUAUGGAAAACUCAGUGUGCUCAACGCAUCCAGUCUUGGCUGAAUGCCUGUCCAUGGAAUGUCACAGCAUCGACCGAACGGGCCAUGGAGUUGUGCUGGCCUUGGUGCCCAUUCUGGGCAAACGGGUGUCUGUCCCCUGGCCGUGGGCAUGGGCUGUGUGGGGGCUGGUUCGUCCAUGCCUCCCACCGGAUUCCUGUCCCUGCCAGUGGUGGCAGCAUCUACCGGACAUGAUGGGAUCGCUCAGGGUGAAAGGUACUGCAGCGCCAGAGGUGAAAUUCUUAGACCGCUGCAAGACCAACAGCGGCGCAGGCGUUCUGCAAGGGCGUGUCCGUCGAUCAAGAGCGAGAGCCUGGGGAUCAAAGAUGAUCAGACACCGUCGUAGUCCAGGGCCGUAAACUAUGUCAGCUCGGCGACAGCUGGGUAAACUGCCAGACCCACGCUGCUGCCAUCACCCCCUGCAUCGAGAAAUCCAAGCCUUUGGAUUCCGGGGGGAGUACAGUUGCAAGGCUGAAACUUAAAGGAAUUGACGGAAUGGCACCACAAGGCGUGGAGUAUGCGGCUUAAUUUGACUCAACACGGGGAAUGUUACCAGGUCAGGACGAAGCCGGGAUGGACAGAUUGAGAGCUCUUUCUUGAUCCUUCGGAUGGUGGUGCAUGGCCGCUCCUGAUUGGUGGAGUGAUUUGUCUGGUUGAUUCCGAUAACGAGUGAGACCUCUGCCUCCCACUAGCCUCUGGGCCGUGUCUGCAGGGCCGGCCAUGGUGGUCAUUCUGUUCCCCUCGGGGUUCGGUUUGGCCCUGUGAUUCAAUCCGCCCGAGGCCCAGGGUUUGCUUCUCUGAGGUGCUGUGUCCGUUCCAAAGGACAUGCAUGCUAGAGCCAACAGCAGGUCUGUGAUGCUCCCAGAUGUCCUGGGCCGCACGCGCACUACAUUGACUCAGUGAGGGUGUGACCUCUGCCUCGCGCAGAGCCUGCACAGAAGUGUGUGGGAAAUCCUACAAGCCUGAGCUGUACUGGGGAUAGAUGAUUGCAACUGUCUGCCUUGAACGAGGAAUGCCUAGUAUGCGUUGGUCAUCAGCCAACACAGAAUGCG